GGCGCCGCCAUCUUGGUGAGGAUCACGUGGACGACUGUUUGCGCGCGCAGCACUUGUGUUUGGCUCGGAGAUAAAGCGGAGGUGCCUACGUACAGCAAACCACUGCAUCUAGAGGGCGCGUGCAAACAGGAAGUGACUGGAAGGAAUCUAAUGCAAUGCAACAAAGGGUCAAAAUGUUAAAAAUAUGGAAAACGUCUACGAUCCACAGUAAAAGUAUUUAAAGUGAAACUAAGGUUCUACUGUUACAACGUGUGAGCUGGCAUGCUCUUUAUUGUUGAAGAGCCAUGCAAUAUUAGGCCCUAUAGCCUGUGUGGGGCCUGAUGUGGAGAUAGGCCUGAAGUGGUCCUGGAGCUCUCCUGCCUUUUGAUGGGGAAAGUUGUGCCAAGGAGGAGACCCAGGGGAGCACUCUUCUUGUUGCAAGGGCCUGGUCACUCACUUCGAGAAAGACACACUGAAGCCUAGGAAAAAGCUGUGAAGCUGAACAUGGAGGAAGUCUGUACAGUAACUCAUCAUGUAAAUUUAGAAAAUAUUGUUCCCCAACCCAUCAACAAAUUCUGGCAAAUUAAAACCCAAUUCUUACCCCAUAAUUACUUCUAAGUCACUUCCCGACAAGUUUUUACCUGCAUGCUCUUUUUGGAUCAGAGAAUUCGACCAAGACAUUCAGCAAACAGAAUUUUCAAAGGAGGUACACAGUGGUAGCAUUUUUACUCUCAUGACAGAUUUCCUUAAAGCUGUUAAUCAUUGAGGUGCAUUUUUGCUUCAGUAUGUUGUAUACAUGUUUUAGGUGGAUUUUACAUAUCCUACAAUUGAAUUCUAUGUAAUGGCAGCAAAGAUGCAGCAAGCAGAACUUUUUCCAAUGCACCUAAUGCUUCGUGCACACGAUCGGGCAUUUGCCCGGCCAAAUCACAUCGGAAUUCAAUCGGAAAAAUAUUUAACA